rnacentral:rRNA from 1 species
AUUGAACGCUGGCGGCAUGCCUUACACAUGCAAGUCGAACGGCAGCACGGGAGCUUGCUCCUGGUGGCGAGUGGCGAACGGGUUAGUAAUACAUCGGAACGUACCCUGAAGUGGGGAGUAACGUAGCGAAAGUUAACGCUAAUACCGCAUAUUCUGUGAGCAGGAAAGAGGGGGAGUCGCAAGACCUCUUGCUUUAGGAGCGGCCGAUGUCGGAUUAGCUAGUUGGUGAGGUAAAGGCUCACCAAGGCGACGAUCCGUAGCGGGUCGUGAGAGGAUGAUCCGCCACACUGGGACGUGAGACACGGCCCAGACUCCUACGGGAGGCAGCAGUGGGGAAGUUUUGGUACAAUGGGCGCAAGCCUGAUCCAGCCAUGCCGCGUGAGUGAAGAA